rnacentral:rRNA from 1 species
GACGAAUUCUGGCGGCGUGCUUAACACAUGCAAGUCGAACGGAAAGGCCCUGCUUUUGUGGGGUGCUCGAGUGGCGAACGGGUGAGUAACACGUGAGUAACCUGCCCUUGACUUUGGGAUAACUUCAGGAAACUGGGGCUAAUACCGGAUAGGAGCUCCUGCUGCAUGGUGGGGGUUGGAAAGUUUCGGCGGUUGGGGAUGGACUCGCGGCUUAUCAGCUUGUUGGUGGGGUAGUGGCUUACCAAGGCUUUGACGGGUAGCCGGCCUGAGAGGGUGACCGGCCACAUUGGGACUGAGAUACGGCCCAGACUCCUACGGGAGGCAGCAGUGGGGAAUAUUGCACAAUGGGCGGAAGCCUGAUGCAGCAACGCCGCGUGCGGGAUGACGGCCUUCGGGUUGUAAACCGCUUUCGCCUGUGACGAAGCGUGAGUGACGGUAAUAGGUAAAGAAGCACCGGCUAACUACGUGCCAGCAGCCGCGGUGAUACGUAGGGUGCGAGCGUUGUCCGGAUUUAUUGGGCGUAAAGGGCUCGUAGGUGGUUGAUCGCGUCGGAAGUGUAAUCUUGGGGCUUAACCCUGAGCGUGCUUUCGAUACGGGUUGACUUGAGGAAGGUAGGGGAGAAUGGAAUUCCUGGUGGAGCGGUGGAAUGCGCAGAUAUCAGGAGGAACACCAGUGGCGAAGGCGGUUCUCUGGGCCUUUCCUGACGCUGAGGAGCGAAAGCGUGGGGAGCGAACAGGCUUAGAUACCCUGGUAGUCCACGCUGUAAACGGUGGGUACUAGGUGUGGGGUCCAUUCCACGGGUUCCGUGCCGUAGCUAACGCUUUAAGUACCCCGCCUGGGGAGUACGGCCGCAAGGCUAAAACUCAAAGGAAUUGACGGGGCCCCGCACAAGCGGCGGAGCAUGCGGAUUAAUUCGAUGCAACGCGUAGAACCUUACCCGGGUUUGACAUGGAUCGGGAGCGCUCAGAGAUGGGUGUGCCUCUUUUGGGGUCGGUUCACAGGUGGUGCAUGGCUGUCGUCAGCUCGUGUCGUGAGAUGUUGGGUUAAGUCCCGCAACGAGCGCAACCCUUGUUCACUGUUGCCAGCACGUUAUGGUGGGGACUCAGUGGAGACCGCCGGGGUCAACUCGGAGGAAGGUGGGGAUGACGUCAAGUUAUCAUGCCCCUUAUGCCCAGGGCUUCACGCAUGCUACAAUGGCUGGUACAGAGAGUGGCGAGCCUGUGAGGGUGAGCGAAUCUCGGAAAGCCGGUCUCAGUUCGGAUUGGGGUCUGCAACUCGACCUCAUGAAGUCGGAGUCGCUAGUAAUCGCAGAUCAGCAACGCUGCGGUGAAUACGUUCCCGGGGCU